rnacentral:rRNA from 1 species
UACGUAGGGGGCAAGCGUUGUCCGGAAUUAUUGGGCGUAAAGAGCGCGUAGGCGGUCCGAUAAGUCGGCUGUGAAAGUCAGGGGCUCAACCCUUGAAAGCCGGCCGAUACUGUCGGACUAGAGUCCGGAAGAGGCAAGUGGAAUUCCCGGUGUAGCGGUGAAAUGCGCAGAUAUCGGGAGGAACACCAAUGGCGAAGGCAGCUUGCUGGGACGGUACUGACGCUGAGGCGCGAAAGCGUGGGGAGCGAUCCGG